rnacentral:sRNA from 1 species
CUGCCAGAUGUGGAGAGUUCUGUGUGUCCACAAGACAGGUAGAAAACAGCCAGUAGCAAUGCUGGCCUGCCUACACUGCCCUCUCCAUGGUCUUCACCCCAGGCAGCCACCUCUCAGGAUGAGAGUUUAACUUCCAGACCACUUAGAAUCUGGUCUCU